UCCAAGUGGACAUUAAAUAUUUCAGAUCAGAAAGAGAAAAGGAGUGAGUCCUGUUUCUGAAUGAAUUUACAAAGCAAUCUGAUUUCAGUUCUUGCAAGGUAGAGAAAAUAAAAUAAAAACGUACUUUAUUUACUAAGCAAUGAAUUGAAUUGUCUGCCUUUUAUUGCAGAUAUAAAGUAAAGACUAUGAAGACACAAUCAUUUGUGUAGCUAUCAGACUUUCAGGAACAUAUCUCUUGUGGUUUAAAUAACAGAUAGUCUAAGUGUUUUUCCAUUACCUUUGUGUAAAUGAAAAAUGCAUAAAAUAUUUUAACAAGGCAAAGUAAUCCAGGGAGAUUGUUAUUUUGUGUUACAAAUUAGGUUAUUUCUGUCAUAAAAUUAAAGGAAAAAAAAAUCAACGUUAGGACAUUUCAGCUUAAUAUGGUUUACCAGCAGGAACGUGUAACAGAUGUAACGAGUGCGCAGGUCACCUGAACCCAGCUGUUUCCGACCAGCGUUAGGAAACAGGGAAUGCGGCUAGCAGUGGGAGGCUACAUGAUGACAAGCUCUCAAGGAGUUACAAAAUCGAUUUCUGCUUGAAUGAAUUAAUUUAGAUUAUCAAUUUAUAACCAGCUACACGCAUCCCAUCAACUCCACAAUUCAGUGAAUCGGAUCAGAUUCAGUCCAGUCAGGGGUUCCCCAAUCAGGGGCCAGAGCAGCCUCUG